rnacentral:lncRNA from 1 species
GUGAGAUUUGACUCUAGAUUGUCAGGCUGCAAACCUAUAUUCCAAACCUCAGAGAAAAUAAGUUCGCUAACACCCUGGUCUUUCAUCUUCUCUGCUCCUCACAACAAUAAGCUUGUUCAUGCAUUUCGAGCAAAAUCUGGUAAUGUGUUUCUUCUCAAUUUGAUUAUUCAGUAACUCACUUUCACAUGUGACCCUUAAAAAUUUAAGCAAUAACAUCUACUCCAAAGAUGUCAAAUCACCUUAUAUUCACGGAUAGAAUUAAUUUUGCAACUGUGAAAAUUCUACCACAUGCGUAACAUCCAACAGACAUAUCAAUAGAGUAGAGGUGGUAUUUUAAGUUACAAUCAGGUUGUUGAGUCAUCCCUUCCUCCCCUCCACCCUGGCAAACCCCCCUGCUGCUAUUCCUUUCAUGUGCCUUUCCACUCCUAAUUUGGUUGUCUCCCCUUAAUUUGACUAUGACACAUUCUUUCCUACAGGUUGCCAAACAUCCUUGUUAUGGGACUCAAGAAAAAGCCACGUAAAAGGAAAGAAAGCUUUCCUUUCCUCUCUGGCCUGUCAAAGGGCAUUCUCCCCGCACCCAGACUCCUAAAGAGGAAGGAUUCUUGCUUAUGGAAGGAAAGCUAGGCAAAGAUCAAGGAGAAGACUGUUUCUGGAAGAGGCAGAGGGAACAGACAACGCGAAGUCCCUAAAUGGGAACAAGUUUGAGUUAUUGGAGGAAGUCGGUGUGAGUGGAGUUUAGGGGAAGGCAGGGAGUUACAAAAUGAGGUUGGAGUGAUGGGCAGAGGUUAGAUCCUGCAGCACUCUGAAGUUCAGGAAAGAUUUCAGAGUCUAUUCUAAGUGUAGGGGAAAAUAAAUGACUUAAAACCUUCCAUUGGAAGGUUUUAAGAAGAGGAGUAGUGUUAUGAACCAAAUGUGUAUGUCUCCCCAAAAUUCAUAUGUUGAAAUCCUAACCUCCAAUGUGAUGGUGUUAGGAGGUGGGUCUUUCAGGGGUGAUUAGGUCAUGAGGGUAGAGCCUCAUGAAUGGGAUUAGUGCCCUUAUGACAAGAGACAGGAGAGCUUGCCGUCCUUCCGCACUCCAGCAUGUGAAGAUUCAAGAAGAUGGCCAUCUGUAAAACCAGGAAGUGGAUCCUCACCAAAUACUGGAUUGGCCAAGCACCUUGAUCUUGAACUUCUCAGCCUUCAGAACUGUACACAGUGUCUGUGUGUUCCCUGCUCUUGGAUCUCUGACUUGAGUGAAUCUGCUCCAACUGCCUCAGCCAGCCCUGGCCUUGGUCUUUCUGGCAAGACAUCCUAGAAGACUGUAUUUUGCUAAGACUGCAACUGCCAGCCACAAGCUUGAUGAGCAGCCUAGGGAAUGUGGCUCACCCCUGUCCAUGGGCUUUGGAGUGAUGAAGACCCUCAAAGAUCAGCUCUCAUUUCUGCCUGGUUAACUCCUAUCCAGCCUCCAAAUCUCAUCCCAAGCAUUACUCUUAUGGGGAAGCCUUUCCUGGUCUCCUUGACUAGUCAAACCUCUCUCAUAAGCAUGCAUAGCACAGGCUCCUUUCCUUCACAGCCCCUGUCAUGGUCAUUUUUUUUUUUUUUUUUGAGACAGAGUCUCACUAUGUUGCCCACACUGGAGGGCAGUGGUGCAAUCUCGGCUCUCUGCAACCUCUGCCUCCCAGUUUCAAGCGAUUCUCCUGCCUCAGCCUCCCGAAUAGCUGGGGCUACAGGUGCGU